UACGUAGGGGGCAAGCGUUUGUUCGGAAUUACUGGGCGUAAAGCGCACGUAGGCGGCUUUGCAAGUUAGAGGUGAAAGCCCGGGGGCUCAACUCCGGAAUUGCCUUUAAAACUGCAUCGCUAGAGUUGUGGAGAGGUAAGUGGAAUUCCGAGUGUAGAGGUGAAAUUCGUAGAUAUUACGGAAGAACACCAGUGGCGAAGGCGACUUACUGGACACAUACUGACGCUGAGGUGCGAAAGCGUGGGGAGCAAACAGG
rnacentral:rRNA from 1 species